AUGUUCUAGAAGGUAUGUGAGGCAGAGUGUAUAUGUUCUAGAAGGUAUGUGAGGCAGAGUGUAUAUGUUCUAGAAGGUAUGUGAGGCAGAGUGUAUAUGUUCUAGAAGGUAUGUGAGGCAGAGUGUAUAUGUUCUAGAAGGUAUGUGAGGCAGAGUGUAUAUGUUCUAGAAGGUAUGUGAGGCAGAGUGUAUAUGUUCUAGAAGGUAUGUGAGGCAGAGUGUAUAUGUUCUAGAAGGUAUGUGAGGCAGAGUGUAUAUGUUCUAGAAGGUAUGUGAGGCAGAGUGUAUAUGUUCUAGAAGGUAUGUGAGGCAGAGUGUAUAUGUUCUAGAAGGUAUGUGAGGCAGAGUGUAUAUGUUCUAGAAGGUAUGUGAGGCAGAGUGUAUAUGUUCUAGAAGGUAUGUGAGGCAGAGUGUAUAUGUUCUAGAAGGUAUGUGAGGCAGAGUGUAUAUGUUCUAGAAGGUAUGUGAGGCAGAGUGUAUAUGUUCUAGAAGGUAUGUGAGUGUAUAUGCAGCUCUGCUCUUUCUGUCUCUCCACAGUCGUUGGUAUUAUAGGUGUAUAAAAGGCUUCUAAUGGG